rnacentral:rRNA from 1 species
UGGCGGCAGGCCUAACACAUGCAAGUCGAGCGGAAACGAGUUAUCUGAACCUUCGGGGGACGAUAACGGCGUCGAGCGGCGGACGGGUGAGUAAUGCCUAGGAAAUUGCCCUGAUGUGGGGGAUAACCAUUGGAAACGAUGGCUAAUACCGCAUAAUGCCUACGGGCCAAAGAGGGGGACCUUCGGGCCUCUCGCGUCAGGAUAUGCCUAGGUGGGAUUAGCUAGUUGGUGAGGUAAUGGCUCACCAAGGCGACGAUCCCUAGCUGGUCUGAGAGGAUGAUCAGCCACACUGGAACUGAGACACGGUCCAGACUCCUACGGGAGGCAGCAGUGGGGAAUAUUGCACAAUGGGCGCAAGCCUGAUGCAGCCAUGCCGCGUGUGUGAAGAAGGCCUUCGGGUUGUAAAGCACUUUCAGUCGUGAGGAAGGUGGUAGUGUUAAUAGCACUAUCAUUUGACGUUAGCGACAGAAGAAGCACCGGCUAACUCCGUGCCAGCAGCCGCGGUAAUACGGAGGGUGCGAGCGUUAAUCGGAAUUACUGGGCGUAAAGCGCAUGCAGGUGGUUUGUUAAGUCAGAUGUGAAAGCCCGGGGCUCAACCUCGGAAUAGCAUUUGAAACUGGCAGACUAGAGUACUGUAGAGGGGGGUAGAAUUUCAGGUGUAGCGGUGAAAUGCGUAGAGAUCUGAAGGAAUACCGGUGGCGAAGGCGGCCCCCUGGACAGAUACUGACACUCAGAUGCGAAAGCGUGGGAGCAAAC